rnacentral:rRNA from 1 species
AACUAACGCUAGCGGCGUGCCUAACACAUGCAAGUCGUACGAGAAAGUUGGCUUCGGCCGAUAAGUAAAGUGGCGCACGGGUGAGUAACGCGUGGAUAAUCUACCCUUUAGUUCGGAAUAACCCACCGAAAGGUGAGCUAAUACCGGAUAAAAUCCCGAUUUUUAUGGAGAUGGGGAUCAAAGAUGGCCUCUGCUUGCAAGCUUUCACUGAAGGAUGAGUCCGCGUACCAUUAGCUAGUUGGUAGGGUAAUGGCCUACCAAGGCGACGAUGGUUAGCUGGUCUGAGAGGAUGAUCAGCCACACUGGAACUGAGACACGGUCCAGACUCCUACGGGAGGCUG